GAUGAACGCUGGCGGCGUGCCUAAUACAUGCAAGUCGAGCGAACGGACGAGAAGCUUGCUUCUCUGAUGUUAGCGGCGGACGGGUGAGUAACACGUGGAUAACCUACCUAUAAGACUGGGAUAACUGCGGGAAACCGGAGCUAAUACCGGAUAAUAUUUUGAACCGCAUGGUUCAAAAGUGAAAGACGGUCUUGCUGUCACUUAUAGAUGGAUCCGCGCUGCAUUAGCUAGUUGGUAAGGUAACGGCUUACCAAGGCAACGAUGCAUAGCCGACCUGAGAGGGUGAUCGGCCACACUGGAACUGAGACACGGUCCAGACUCCUACGGGAGGCAGCAGUAGGGAAUCUUCCGCAAUGGGCGAAAGCCUGACGGAGCAACGCCGCGUGAGUGAUGAAGGUCUUCGGAUCGUAAAACUCUGUUAUUAGGGAAGAACAUAUGUGUAAGUAACUGUGCACAUCUUGACGGUACCUAAUCAGAAAGCCACGGCUAACUACGUG
rnacentral:rRNA from 1 species